rnacentral:rRNA from 1 species
AACGAACGCUGGCGGCAUGCCUAACACAUGCAAGUCGAACGAGACCUUCGGGUUUAGUGGCGCACGGGUGCGUAACGCGUGGGAACCUGCCCUUAGGUUCGGCAUAACUCCCCGAAAGGGGUGCUAAUACCGGAUCUUGUCUUCGGUCCAAAGAUUUAUCGCCAUUGGGUGGGCCUCCGUUGGAUUAGCUAGAUGGUAGGGUAAAAGCCUACCAAGGCGACGAUCCAUAGCUGGCCUGCGAGGAUGGUCAGCGACACUGGGGCUGGGACGCGGCCCAGACUCCUACGGGAGGCAGCAGUGGGGGAUAUUGGACAAUGGGCGAAGGCCUGAUGGAGCAAGGCUGCGUGAGUGAUGAAGGCCGUAGGGAUGGAAAGCUCGUUUACCCGGGAUGAUAAUGACGUUACCGGGAGAAUAAGCACCGGCUAACUCCGUG